AUAGUGGAAAGUACGCUUUGGCUGCCGCAGGAGACUGCCGCAGUUGACAAGACCAUGCAUUCUAUCCUGCCGCAAUGCCAAUAAUAUGCUGCCGCAGGUAAAAAAUCAAACGACUACACGCAAUACUGCUGACCACUAAACAGUAAACAUUGAAGCCUUCACUCUUAAAAAAAGACGUGCUAUUAAAAUCAACACAGCUUUUUUGUCGAAUGAUUAAUCAUCUUAAGAUGUGCCGAUACAACACAGCACUGGCAUGUCACCCAAAUUGUGCCGCAUGUAUUUUCUAAACUAUUUCUGCCGCACUAUCAAUU